rnacentral:rRNA from 1 species
GCGAACGCUGGCGGCAUGCUUAACACAUGCAAGUCGCACGGUCAGCAAUGGCAGUGGCGGACGGGUGAGUAACGCGUAGGUAUCUAUCCACGCCGUGGGGGACAACGUCGGGAAACUGACGACUAUAUACCGCAUGAUACCCGAGGGUCAAAGGCGCAAGUCCGCCUGUGGAGGAGCCUGCGUACGAUUAGCUUGUUGGUGGGGUAAAGGCCUACCAAGGCGACGAUCGUUAGCUGGUCUGAGAGGAUGAUCAGCCACAUUGGGACUGAGACACGGCCCAACCUCCUACGGGGAGGCAGCAGUGGGGGAAUAUUGGACAAUGAGGGCGCAAUGCCUGAUCCAGCAAUGCCCGCGUGUGUGAAAGAAAGGUCUUCGGAUGGUAAACCAUUUUGGGGCGGGGACGAAGAAAAAAGUAACCCACCGAAGGAGCCCCCGGCUAAAUUUCGUUGCCCAGCAGCCGCGGUAAUUAGAAGGGGGGCUAGCGUUGCUCGGAAAUGACUGGGGCGUAAAGGGCGGCGGUAGGGCGGUUUUGUACAGUCAGAUGUGAAAUUCCCUGGGCUUAACCUGGGGACUGCAUUUUUGAGACGUGCAGACUUGAGUUGGUGGAAGAGGGUCGUGGAAUUCCCAGUGUAGUAGGUGAAAUUCGUAGAUAUUGGGGAAGAACACCGGUGGCGAAGGCGGCGGACCCCUGGUCCCAUAACUGACGCUGAGGCGCGAAAGUCGUGGGAGAGCAAACAUGAUUAGAUACCCUGGUAGCUCCACGCUGUAAUUUUACGAGUGCUGGACUCUAUUGUGGGUGACCUUCAGUCACUCCGUAGUGUCGUAGCUAACGCACCACUAAGAUAAGCACACCGCUCUGGGGAGAUCAGGCGCCGCAAGGUGAGUGAAACUCAACUAGGAAUUGUAUGCGGAGGGCCCGACAAAACAAGCGGUGGAGCAUGAUGGUUUAAUUCGAAGCAACGCGCAGAACCUUACCAGGGCUUGACAUGGGGCACACCGGUCCAGAGAUGGAUCUUCCCGCAAGGGGUGCCUGCACAGGUGCUGCAUGGCUGUCGUCAGCUCGUGUCGUGAGACGUUGGGUUAAGUCCCGCAACGAGCGC